rnacentral:lncRNA from 1 species
UGGCACUGACCUUGGGUGGACGCUCCUGUGUGGCUUACCUCGAAGACGUCUUCUUUCUAAAAUUCUAUCCUCUUCUUUAAAGACUUGAUCGGAUGGCGGUUAUGAAGGCAAGGACACAUGGAAGAAUGCCACUUUCCUCGACAGAUGAGACAGGUCCAAGAAGACAAUUUUUUUUUUAAGUGGGGUCGCUUUUUUUCCGAACAAGGCUUGCAUCCACAGUAAUUUUAUGCUACAAUGUGAAUAAUGGAUCUGGAAAACCUUUCUUUCCAGGACAGACGUAUAUAUAUGAGGCAUUUUUCCCCCCUGCUAUUCAAUAAUGAUUAUUUUGAUUACACUGAGAAGUUCUUAGGUAAGUGGAACAAUAUAAAAUCAAUGUGAAAAAAAAAGGUAAAAAUGUGUUUUUUGGGGGUAUUAGACGAUGGUGAAACGGGUAAUUUGUGUGUGUGUGUGUGUGUGUGUGUGUGUGUGUUGAAUAAUGCAGAGUAAAAUUAUCCUAAUUCCAUUCAUCAAUUAAUUUAAUUUUGAUUCCACGUUAACCUUCUUUACUCAGUUCCUCUCCCCACCCCCACCCCCCCAAAUCCCUGUAAGGAAGCCCUGUGAAUGCCCCAGACAUGAGGCUAUGAGAGCUUGGCUGAGCUUCUGCGUCUGGGGAUUACUUUCCAGAUUUAUUUGCGGGGUGUCUGUGCCCGGCAAGUCUUAGCUUUCGCAAAAGACUAAUUACUCCUUGUACCUUUUAACAUUAAAAUGCAUCUGAGACCUUGCCUCCAUUUAACACAACUCUGAGGCAUACCUUAUUCAGCAGAAGCAACGGGGGCCCCUGUCGCCAAGGCUUAGCAGAUAAGAAGAUUAGGACAACGGAUUUUAACUUUCAUUUCUUUGAUGCAAAAGGUAAGAACACCUGAUUUCAAUAUUUAAUUCCUUUGAUAUUUUACCUUUGGAUUUAAUUUUCUUGAACUUUAACUUGCAAGAAAAUUUUAUUCUCUGCGCUUGAAUUUCUCCCUGGAAAUUCUGAAAUGGCAGAUUUGCAUUCACACGGGGUGGGCCUCUCGGAGGUCAUUUUAUUAUCCUGCCCUUUUGACACUGGGAUUGGAUUCUAUUUCAGAGCUUCUAAGGGCCAUGCUGACGACUCAUAUGGGCCGACACAGGGGAUGGGAGAGAGGACAGGAGGGGAGCUGUCUGGUGUACAGAAGGCCUCCAAGUUACGUUAAUCACUGAAGAGCUCUGAGCUGUUGUAGAGCCUUCUGGAGGCAAAAGGAACCGUUCACGGCCAUGGUCCUGGGGGAACUGAAGGCCAGGUUUGGGGAGAUGCUUUUCUGAAGAAGCAACACUGUGUUCACCUGUUCUCACCCACCUCCUCCCCUGCAAGGAUCCAGCGCAGCCCCGGGGCAAGGGCUAAGACAACAGAGGUUGCAGAUUGGGAGUGUGGAGAAUUCGCUCUUUGUGCAUGCGUGCUAUUGGCCAGCGUCCCCAGCUCCUGUCCGGCUGUGCCCUCACUCCCCGACACCACCAGGCGCACCGUCAGUGAGGCCCCACGCACAAGGGAAAUGUGGGUCUCUGUUCAGAAAGCAGAACUUGCUGUGAAAGGUGAUAAAAAAAUGCAAAGCUCUUCCCUUCUUGACCCGCCGUGGGGAUUUCAUUUGGACCUUGUUGUCAAGAUGGGCACUCAGUGGGAAGGGGGAGCCGCUGCGGGAGGAGGCAGGGAGCCGAGGGUGGCAGGCUGUAGGGAGGGGACACCAGAGAACCCAGCCUAGGGGGGCAGACAUCGGACCUCCCCCGAGCCAAGGCUCCCAACCUCAGAGCACACCCCACUGAAGCAUCAGAUUUCACCUAAAAACCACAAAUCCCAAGAUAAAAUUACUACUAAUGUCCAGAUGACGACCCAGAGCAUCAAAACCCGGGCGUGGAGCCCUUGUCAGCCCGGCUCUGUGUAGAGGACCAGACCCAAGUGAUACCUCCUGUGGUUUCUCACCCUGUGUCUCAGCUUCCCGCCCCCUGGCCCCACUCCUCGCGCUCAUCCGUACAGAUGCGCAGUCACCACCCACGGGCUCGGCCAGUACCCCCAUUUCUUCCCCUGGGACCAAGUGG